rnacentral:sRNA from 18 species
CCUAGUUCUGACGAACUAGGCUGAUCUAUACCGUUCCUUCAGAACU